rnacentral:rRNA from 1 species
UGGGGAAUUUUGGACAAUGGGCGAAAGCCUGAUCCAGCCAUGCCGCGUGCAGGAUGAAGGCCUUCGGGUCGUAAACUGCUUUUGUACGGAACGAAAAGACUCUGGUUAAUACCUGGGGUCCAUGACGGUACCGUAAGAAUAAGCACCGGCUAACUACGUGCCAGCGGCCGCGGUAAUACGUAGGGUGCAAGCGUUAAUCGGAAUUACUGGGCGUAAAGCGUGCGCAGGCGGUUAUAUAAGACAGAUGUGAAAUCCCCGGGCUCAACCUGGGAACUGCAUUUGUGACUGUAUAGCUAGAGUACGGCAGAGGGGGGAUGGAAUUCCGCGUGUAGCAGUGAAAUGCGUAGAUAUGCGGAGGAACACCGAUGGCGAAGGCAAUCCCCUGGGCCUGUACUGACGCUCAUGCACGAAAGCGUGGGGAGCAAACAGGAUUAGAUACCCUGGUAGUCCACGCCCUAAACGAUGUCAACUGGGUUGUUGGGUCUUCACUGACUCAGUAACGAAGCUAACGCGUGAAGUUGACCGCCUGGGGAGUACGGCCGCAAGGUUGAAACUCAAAUGAAUUGAC